rnacentral:rRNA from 1 species
UGCAAGUCGAACGAAGUAGCAAUACUUAGUGGCAGACGGGUGAGUAACAUGUAGGUAUCUUCCCAUUGGUGAGGAAUAACACGAGGAAACUUGUGCUAAUACCUCAUAGUCUUUACGGAGAAAGCUUUAUGCGCCGAUGGAUGAGCCUGCACUUGAUUAGUUUGUUGGUAGGGUAAGGGCCUACCAAGACAAUGAUCAAUAGCUGAUUUGAGAGGAUGAUCAGCCACAUUGGGACUGAGACACGGCCCAAACUCCUACGGGAGGCAGCAGUAGGGAAUCUUGCACAAUGGGGGAAACCCUGAUGCAGCGAUGCCGCGUGAGUGAAGAAGGCCUUUGGGUUGUAAAGCUCUUUCGUCGGGGAAGAAAAUGACUGUACCCGAAUAAGAAGGUCCGGCUAACUUCGUGCCAGCAGCCGCGGUAAUACGAAGGGACCUAGCGUAGUUCGGAAUUACUGGGCUUAAAGAGUUCGUAGGUGGUUAAAAAAGUUGGUGGUGAAAUCCCAGAGCUUAACUCUGGAACUGCCAUCAAAACUUUUUAGCUAGAGUAUGAUAGAGGAAAGCAGAAUUUCUAGUGUAGAGGUGAAAUUCGUAGAUAUUAGAAAGAAUACCGAUUGCGAAGGCAGCUUUCUGGAUCAUUACUGACACUGAGGAACGAAGC